rnacentral:lncRNA from 1 species
AAAUUAAAAAGAAAAAAAAAAGGCAGAUCAUUGAUCGAGUUUAUCAAUGUGAAGAAGCGGCCCUUAUUCCACACUGAAAAGCAAGGCCCUCCCACCCGGGCGGGGGCGUGGGGGGCAGCAUCUAAGGGUCUAAAGCGGAAUUUUUUAGAGCUCAGAGAGUUUGGUACCACACACAUUACAAGAUCUCUUUCAGGAGCACGCAGAGGUGACGUGUAUCAACUGCGCUUAUGGACGAGUGGGUUUCUGAGGGAAGAGAAGCAGGUACUAACGAGGGGCCCUGUGAGGUCCCCCUUCUCUGCUUGGCACAAGGCACCAGCACAAGGUGAAACCCCGAGGGGACCCGCAGGACUGGGCUUCCGAAGCCGGGCGGCACCCUCCCCGAGCGCCCACCCAGUACACGGGCCUCGCUUAGACAGGCGCAUUCUUCGGUUGGUACGAGCGGUCUCGUCAGCCUCACAGCGGCGCGGAGCCGCGAGCCGGACGGCGAAGCCGCUACGUCCCUCUGCAGACCUCGGCCGCGGCUGCCCCGGACGUCACCAGAGCGGGAAGGGCCCGGCCCUCCGCCUUCCCCGCGCAGCGAGUCGGUCGUCCCCCAGGCUGCCUGCCGGCCGGCCGGCCCUCGCUUCACAAGGGGCGCCCUGCCCUGCGCGCACCCGGGGCCCCGGACGGGACAGCGCGACCGACCAACAGCAGGGCGCGCGCCGCACAGCCGGGGGUCGCCAAGACGCGCGCGCGCGCCCCGGAAGCCGCUCUAGCCCACGGGCCGCGGCGGAGAGUCAGCGGGGACGCGCACGUCGAGCGGCUACGCGCAACGGGAGGACCGCACAGCGCGCGCGUUACCGCGAGCAAAAAAAAAAAACCACACGCGCUCUCGUGCGCGCGCCCGCUCGCCCGCCGCCGCCGCGCGCUCUCGUGCGCGCGCCUCCCCGCCCCCGCCCGCGCGCGAGCCCGGACGCUCUCUUCCCAAGCCGCCGGGGCCAGCGGCAGCGCCGCCCGCCCGCCCGCUCGCCCGCCGCCCGCUCGCCGUUGUGUGGAGUGGGCCCGCCGCCCCGGGCCACAGCCCUCCCUGCUUCCCCGCCCCGCCAGAGCCCUCACCCGCCACGACGCCACCGCCCGCCGCCUCCGCGCUACCCGCCGGCCCCGCUCCACCGCCCGGGGCCUCGGUUCUGCCGUCGCCGCUCCAAGACCGACAGGAUUUUCUCCUCACAGCUCCCUGGGCGCCAUCUUACAUUCAACCCUCACAACCAAUGGGAGCUGAGUGCCCCUCUCGCGAGAAUCUAG